rfam:Trichomonas vaginalis G3, whole genome shotgun sequence.
GCUUUCGUAGCUCAGUAGGUAGAGCGUAGGUCUCAUAAUCCUAAGGUCGCGAGUUCGAGCCUCACCGAAAGCA